rnacentral:rRNA from 9 species
AGUCGGUGGGGUAACCUUUUUGGAGCCAGCCGCCUAAGGUGGGACAGAUGAUUGGGGUGAAGUCGUAACAAGGUAGCCGUAUCGGAAGGUGCGGCUGGAUCACCUCCUUUCU